rnacentral:lncRNA from 10 species
GAUUACAGGCAUGAGCCACCGUGCCUGGCCAGAAACUCUUUUUUAAGUGAUGAGAUCUGUGUGGCAUUUCUAGCGCUCUCUAAAUUAUGUCUCUGGCAUAUUUUAAUCACUGGAAACUCAAAGAGUGGAAGAGUGGAAGUGCGAAGGAAUCUCAGGUAGCUCUUAACUAAUUCGCCAGCAGUGAAGAAACUUCAACCAAUCAUGUUUUCCUUGAAUUUUGCAAAGAAAGAAAAUCCAAAGCAUUGCUUGGAUGUUCUUUUAAGGCAUUUUAUAUCAGUUGAACCUUAAACUGAAAUAUGAAGACAAGCUUUAUAAACUAGUUUUUUGAUAUGAAGUAUAUCAAUUAUGUUUGCCUUUUGUGAAGAAGUAAAUGAGUUGAAUUUCUAUUUCACUUACUAGAUUAUACUAAUGAGCUAAUGGGGUCAUUGCCAUCCUCCCUACUCAUGACUUUGAUGAGUUAUUGCUGUAACAUCACUUCUUGAUUUAAUUUGAUAUGGAAUCAGAAUUGGGAGAAGGUAUUUUUAAAUAAACAACUUUUUAAUGG